UUCGCGGAAACUGAUUGCAGC
rnacentral:piRNA from 1 species